rnacentral:RNase_P_RNA from 1 species
GGGGGGGAGGAGGUGAUCGCGGGCCGGUUUUUUAGCCGGCUCGAGGAAAGUCCGGACUCCAUAGAGCAGGACGCUGGAUAACAUCCAGGAGGGGCGACCCUACGGAAAGUGCCGCAGAAAAGAUACCGCCCGCCCCACACGGCGGGUAAGGGUGAAAUGGUGGGGUAAGAGCCCACCGCGGCUCCGGGCGACCGGGCCGGCAUGGCAAACCCCGUCCGGAGCAAUGCCAAGUAGGAGAGGGAGGCGCGGCUCGCGCCGCAGCGCCUUCGGGCGGCGAACUCUCGGGUGGGCAGCUUGAGGCUCUUGGCAACAAGACGCCCAGAUAAAUGAUCACCCUCGACAGAAUCCGGCUUACACCUCCCCCCCGAUU